GGCUAAAAGAACCUCUGUAAAAAGUUUUAUGCAGCCAGAAGAUUGUGUUGAUGCUGUGAACGACUAUUGAUUUGAAAGUGGUGAGUGAACACACAGAUGGAAUCUACGGCUACACUACAUUCUGUGAUUUUUCUGGGAGAUCUGAGCCUAUUUGUCGGAAUGGUGGCUAAGAACCAUACCGUUAGGUGAAGUACUGAGAACUGCACAGAAACAUAAACAUACAGUAAAUAGAGAAGGAAUCAGGA